GUACACUCCUACGGGAGGCAGCAGUGGGGAAUAUUGCACAAUGGGCGCAAGCCUGAUGCAGCCAUGCCGCGUGUAUGAAGAAGGCCUUCGGGUUGUAAAGUACUUUCAGCGGGGAGGAAGGCGAUAAGGUUAAUAACCUUGUCGAUUGACGUUACCCGCAGAAGAAGCACCGGCUAACUCCGUGCCAGCAGCCGCGGUAAUACGGAGGGUGCAAGCGUUAAUCGGAAUUACUGGGCGUAAAGCGCACGCAGGCGGUCUGUCAAGUCGGAUGUGAAAUCCCCGGGCUCAACCUGGGAACUGCAUUCGAAACUGGCAGGCUAGAGUCUUGUAGAGGGGGGUAGAAUUCCAGGUGUAGCGGUGAAAUGCGUAGAGAUCUGGAGGAAUACCGGUGGCGAAGGCGGCCCCCUGGACAAAGACUGACGCUCAGGUGCGAAAGCGUGGGGAGCAAACAGGAUUAGAUACCCUUGUAGUCCC
rnacentral:rRNA from 1 species